CUUGGAUACUAAGGUGCUCGACGUCCUUGACAACCCAACCUUACCGGAGGAGACACAAGAUCUGUGACUCAAUGAUGACGUCGACCACCUUUUCCUCCAGUCAUCUCUAAUUAAAGGAUCGACCAGAAUUAAGACCCAAUGAAAGAAAAGAGACCACAUAAGGGAGGAUUUGCUAGAAUAUAAUCAAAUGUCUCCCUCAUGUAAAAUCAUCAUGAUGCAAUAAAUAUACUACCUACGGUACCUAAGAAUCAUUACGGGUACUUGUACUACCAACGUACAAGCACACCCUGGCGUUCAUGGGGUACUUGCGCGGCGACUUUCUCUGCCAGUGGUUGUAGAUCGGCGUCCAUCGGUUCUAGCUCCUACCGCACUUUCAGUACCAACGACACCGGGUUCAGUUCGACUUCUCUCAUCUUUGUGCAUGUCAAGACAACCAUCAACACAGGGUUUUUCGGUACCUCACCUAAGACAUGAAGUCCAAGCGACCGAGUCUUGAACCUUCGCUUGUUCACGGUACCGCUUGACGAAACUCGAACUACUUCACGUAUACUUCCGUUUCCAACGACCUACAAUGUAUGAGGGAGGCAAAGUUUUAUCUACUGGGUUAAAACAUAAUUACGAAAUGAAAGUUUAAGAGACUUAAGAAAGUGCAUUGUAAAGAACGAAUAUCCAAGAUAGAACAAAAUUCAACGGACCACCACAUACUCGUUCCGACCUCUAUAUAUCCGAAUAUCAGGUUGUCAGUCUCCAACUAAACGAUAAGGAGCCAGAUACAUUUACAUAUUUAGCUACUACUACAUGUUUGUUUACUAUAAAACAAAAAAUCCGGAGACGUAGACCCUCUACGUGCGCCAGUAAAAUAACUAAUAAGAAAUC
rnacentral:rRNA from 1 species